UGCUGAGGGGGGACAGAGAUGCUGGGGGAGACAGGGAUGCUGGGGGAGACAGGGAUGCUGGGGGGCAAAAGGGAUGUUGGGGGAAACAGGGAUGCUGGGAGGACAGGGAUUCUGGGAGGGACAGGGAUGCUGAGGGGGAACAGGGAUGUUGGGGGAAACAGGGAUGCUGAGGGGGGAGAGGGAUGCUGAGGGGGGACAGGGAUGCUGGGGAGACAGGGAUGCUGAGGGGGGACAGGGAUGUUGGUGGGGACAGGGAUGCUGGGUGGAUGCUGUCGGGAGCUCCCUGACACGGGCAGGAUGGAUGGAUUGGGACACUCUGGCUCCUUCCCAGCGGCCCGUGGGUCCCGUGAGGCUCAGCAGGUCCCCGCGGCGAUGGGCACGGAGCUGAGCGCUCAGUGGGCUCUUUAUUCCCUGUCUCGCCCGGAGCCGGGGUGUCGGCGCUGGGAAAGGAAAAGGCUCAGGAACAUCAAACGGUUCCCACGGGCUGGCGCGGGGGUCACAUGAAGCACCGGGAAAGUCUCGGGAGAUAAAGGGGCUUUGUGGGGCUGGGAGCCGCGGUGGGGACAGCCCCACACUGCCCAGUGACCCCAGAGCUGCCCCGGGCGGGGGUGGCCCCAUCUCAUCCGAUGUGGCCUUGCCUGGCAUCCUGUGCGAGCUCUGGCAUGGACACGGUGUGACGGUCGGUGUUCACAGAGGUUUUCAGGGUGCCACGGGCUUUGAACCAAACUGGUCCCAGAAGCAGCCCUGGCACUUGGCCCUGUGCCCACAUGGCAUCAGAGAGGUCCUGACCCCUCUGCUGGGAAGGAGGCAGCAGAGUUUGGAGCCACCUGGUGCAAAAUGAGGAUGCACAGCCUUGCUCCUGCUUGAGGAGCAAACACAGCAGGGGAAGGGAGCCCCCACCAAGAGGAGCUGUUCCACCACCACUCCAGCACCCAGGAGCUGGUGCCCAUGUCCCAUGGGCUGUGCCCACCUUACUCACUGUGAUUUGUGAUGGAACCAGCAUGGUUUGGAAUUGCUCCUUAACGGGGAGCUCUGCUGGAAUGUGUCUGGCAGAAGCAUCUCCAUCCUCAGUCUCAUCCUCAUACCCACUCCCAUCCUAUUCUCAUCUCCAUCAUCUCCAUCUCCAUCUCCAGCCUCCUUCCUGACCUCAUCCCCACUUCCAUCCCUAUCCAAGUUCCUGCUGGGAUGCAUCCUCCCAUUCCCACUGGCUGUCCCACUGCCAAUCCCUCCUGGGCACACCUCACAGGGGUUUCCAGGGGAAUAAGGGAGGAUUCUCCCAUGUUUACUCCUCAGGUGCUGCUGUUAUGAAUAUUUGCUCCCGUGUGGGGAGAGCAGGCACACUCCCUGACAGGGAUAUCAGUUGGAACAUCAUCUAAUUGAUUACAUGGAAAUUGCUGCUGGUGGAAAGGGAAGCCCUUGCCUUGCUCUGGGGCAGGGAAUGGACGGAGCACCAUGGGCUGGGCUGGGGCUCAACACUCAAACCUCAGGAGAUGUUCCCAUACCUGGGGGCUCACUCAUCCCAGCUCUGAAGAUCACAGACCUUCACAAAGCUGCAGGUGGAGCCAAGGACACCAGAACCAGCCCAGUGCUGCCUGUGAGCUCAUCCUGGAUUUGCACCACCAGAUCACCCU